CCCACUGAAUUUUUAUAAAAACUCACCUUCCUUCAUUUCCUCAUUCAUUCCUGCGCGCGAGCUGAGGCGGAGAGAACGCGAGUCACCGGUGCGAAAUAUCUAAAUUUUUAAGAUUGUAUUACUGGUGAAGAUUGUGGUGAGAGAGAAAUUUUAAGGAAUAAUUUAUUGAAAAAGCCACAAGGAGAAGAGCCACGAGUGACACGUGGAGGAGUCCCAGAGGCUUAGUGGUAUAGAUCCACUGUCUCUUUUGGGUAUUUAAUUUAUGAUUUAUAAUGUGUUAUAUUGCCAAUACUAGGGCUUUUUGUUUAUUGUCAAUUAUAUGAAUAUAUAAAUGUAAUCAUGCCUUUCAAACUAUUUCUAUUUUUGGUACAAUUUGGAUGACUGUAAUUUUAAUAUUUGGUUUACUUUG